AUGUCUGCUCGCACAGGCGUUUCUGCUCCCCACCGAGCAGGCCUUGCUUCUCAGGACAGGCUUCUCGCCUGCCUGCAGCCUCCUCUGCAGGGUCCAAGACGAGACUUCAAGAACAGAAAUCGAAACGCUCACCGACCUCCCGAGAGGCGGGUCGGGCCCCGAGCAGGGCGGCAGGGGUCGAGCAGCGGCUCCCCGGCGAGCCCACUGCCCGCUCUCGCGCGGCGCGGGGAGGCCCUGCGCACGCCGCCACGCCGGCCUCAAGCAACCGGUUGCGGUGGCCGCUGGACGCUCCGCAAACGCGCAGCGGCCACCCCGGCCCUCGGAAGUUCGGACCGCCGCACGAGCGGCGCGGCCCCGGCCCCUGCUGCGGGUUCGCGCCCCGGCCCCGGAGCGAGCCCGGGGGGCGGGUCCGCGGGGGCUCGGCGGGCGGGAGCGCGGGACGCGCUGGGAGGGGCGCGCGGCGGGCCCAGCGCGCCGGGGAACUUGGGCGCCCGCCGCUGCCGCCGCCCGGCCACUUUCCUUUCACGCCCCCGGGGCUGCCGCGCGCCGCGCCGCCCGCCCGGGGCUGCCGGCCGCCACCGCGAGCAGACGCCCAGGCGCGUUCCUGCAGCCCGGCCGGCCGCCGCGCGGGUCCGCGGGGGCGCGCGAGGCCGCGCGCGGGCGCUGCGCUCCCCCCGCCCCGCCCCCGCCCCCAACGUGCCGCCGCCGCCGCCCGUUGGCGCCUCAGCCCGCGCGCCCGCCGCCCGCCGGCUCCCGGCGGUUUUUCGUCGGCAAAGUUGCGCGGCCGCCUCGAGGGGGGCGCCCCGUGGUCCCCCACCCCAGCACAGCCGCCGCCCCUUCAGGCCGCCGCGCGGGAAGGCCCAGUCGGCGGCCCCGCUUUUUUACCUGCCGGGAGUUUUCGCGCGCGCGCUCGCUCGAUCGCUCGCUUUGCCCCCUCUCGCACUCGUUUUCUUUCUUUCUUUCCUUCUUUUCGUUCCCCCGCGCGGGCGCUUUUUCCGCUCGCGCCGCCCGCGCUCGCCCGCUCGCGCCCUCCUUCCUGCUGGGCUCGGCGGAGCGGGGCGGCCGGCAGCUCUCCCCGCCCCCCUCCACCCGCGCUCCGGCGGAGGCGGCGGCGGCGGCGGCGCUCCGCGCUCCGACUCAUUCCAAUAUGGCACGGGCGCAGGGCGCAUGCGCCCGCGCCCCCCCCCCCAUCCGCGCUCCUCCCGGCAGCCCGCGCCCCUCGCGCCGCGCGCGUGGCGCCCCCCGGCCGGGCCUCCCCGAGCCCGCCCGCGCGUCUUCCCGCCCCGCUGA
rnacentral:lncRNA from 1 species